AGUUCUUACUUAUUGUGAAGUGAAGCGAUUACCAGGUGUUCUCUACGUUACCUUUAUAUCUGAUAGGGAGCCAUUAGCUCUUCUCAUAGCAUCCUUCAUGCCUCUAUUAUCAUGCUCUAUUCUACAACCAUACAUAAAGGAUGUAUCUCAACAACUUGAAGCUGAGCAGAAGCAGUUGACAUCUUUUAUGAAAGACACCGGUUCACUUUACACCUGAUGAUUGGUGCUGUACUCUACACCAUUGCUACACAACACAACACAUAUAAAAAUCAUGUUUGAUGUGUAUUCAAAAUAAUGCCACCAUAUGAUGCAUUAUUAUAGGUUUUACAGCAAGGACAUUCUUAGUAGUCACAUUCUGCAUUAGUUCUGAAUGACAGCAAGGUCCUUGCUAGAGCAGUUCAAAACCUAAAACUGCUGGCAGGUAUAUGAUAGUAAAUAACGUGUAAUCUCAUUGAUUAAUACACAGUAUCAUAUCUCUUAACUGGCAUGAUCUGACAUAUAUGCAUCGAUGCGUUUUAUAAUGCAUGCAAAUAAUCUUUGUGAAACACUCCCUGAUUACUCACAGAAAAAAAAUCCAAAUUAGCCAAAGGGAGUGUAAUCAAUAGUUUAUGUAUCAUAAAUCUUACUAUAAAUUGCUUUACAUUUCAAUAAAAAAAUGUGACUAGGAAGAUGCAAACAAAAAAAGAUACCCCCCCCCCUCAACUGCAGGGGCUCUCCCACUUCCAUUGUGAUUGUUAAGAGGGCCAUCUGGAGAGGUUAGAGCUGCACACUGUUUUUUUCUUGCUUUCAUUGGAUAUAUUUUUUGUUUUGUAAUAAGUUCCUUAUUGACUACUGAUAUUUGUAAUUUAUAGGCAUGUACCAUCUGAUGUCAGUAGACAAUUGGUUCAAGCAUAAUAACAUUACGGGUAAUCCUAUACUCAUUUGUAUCUUUGAAAUUCCAUUGCUAUCAAGCGUCAGGGUGUGUGUGCAGGAUUAUGUUGACUCAUAACGUCAUUUAAAACUGGAAAUAUUUGCUUGAAAUCAUUGAUUUUGCUAGAUCAAUUCUUUUGUUUGAUAUUAAAUUUUAUAAAUUAAGCCUCCUUCAAAUAUAAGCUGUAGAUGAGUUUAUACAAAUCAAGCUUGAAUUCAUGUAUUUGGGGACUCCCCUAUGCUUGGAGCCGGCAAUUGCUUGCAGUAAUACUUCAAAUUCAAUCACCGGUUUGUAACACUGCAUUGUACGUAAAUUAAAGAGAGCUAUGUUGUUUAUAGAUUUGUACCUUUGACUUAAUGCAUGAAGUUCAAAUGUGUACUCUUGCGAGUUGACGUAACAUUCACUAACAUGUACUGUAAUAAAGUAAUGUUACUUCAAUAAUUUUAGACGCAUACUUUGUGUUUGAUUCAAAACUUCUGUCAUUUAAGAAUUACAGUUACAUGUGUACAUGUAAAAGUACUGCUCUCUUUAAACCAAUGGGGUAGAUUGCAUUUGAUGUCCUGUAAAUUAGAACAUUGCAGUUGUCAUUUCUGCUAGUAUUAGUCCAGAAGGUACUACAAUAUUUAGCUUGUCUAGAAAUCAUAAAACUGAAUCAUCAUGAUUUCUAUCUGAUUACUAUCACAAGGGUAAAAUGAACAUAACUGUGGGUCUUGAUCUUAAUUGAGUAUUGAUCUUGUAAAGGGGCCCUGGUUCCCAUCUUGCAAAGAGUUAAUGAUUGAUCUGAUCAAGCUCAACUAUAUCAAAAUCCAUCAUAGUCAUAUUUUUUUUCUAAAUGUGCCUAAUAUCCUUUGUUAAACAAAGUGGAGCACACUGAAUUUUCAAGAGAGCGAUGGAUGUCUGAAUAUACAUCGUAUCUAGAAGAUAUUUUGAACAAACUUCCAUUUGGGAUGUUGCUGGCCGUCCAUAGUUGUAAUUGAUUGCAUCUAUCACGACUCUGAUGGGGUCCUGAUCUUUUCAUGGGUUUUCUCCUUUUACUUUGUUUCACUGUGUGGUCUUGCUUUUUAAUUGUACAAAUUGAAAUGACUAAUGUAGGAAAUUUCUUAAUAUUACUAUGAAACAAGUAUUAUUUUAUGAAAAAAAGUGCUGUGAAGAUAAUGGUUGCUGAGAUAUAAUUUUAUUAAUGGUUUGAUGCUGUACUGAAAUGAGUUCCAAACAAUAUUUGCGUUUUUUACUCAAACUUACAAUCCGAUUUUCUUUCCACCAUUUUGAAAAUGUUUAGUAGAUUUUUCUAGGAGGUGCUGAAAUAGUUUUAAAUAAAUUCUAACUUGUUUGGUUGUAACAGUACUUUAAAUAGUAAAGUCGACUUUGUUUCCCUCUGUCACAAAUAAUUGAAGAAAUAUUAUAAUUAUUUAGAAAUUCAACUUUAUGCACAUAAACAUCUCAAAAUUUCAAGCUAUCCCCUAAUUUUCUUUGUAAUAUGUUAAGAUCUCGUUGUGAACAUGAAGAAAAUGUUCCUCUUGAUUGGAGAUUGAAUAACAUGUUUUAAACUCAUUCCAAAUCUUGAAAUUAAAGUUCAUGAAAUUACUGCUGCUGUGUGAAUACAGUCAUACAAAUAAAUUAUAAAUUGUAUUAGUGUAGUAAAGGGCAUGAAUCAACAGAUAGAAAAAAACACAUCUUGUCAUGUUUAUAAUUAUUGUUGCAAUUAUCUUUCUGAAUUGGGAAUGAAAUAGACUUUGCUUGAAGUGUAAAAGUA